AUUUUUCUACAUUGCACGUGAAUCUACUUUAUGAUGUUGUUCUCUUUACUUUAAGAAAUAAUAUAUCUUGUCAUUGGUUGGCUAAAAAAAAAAAAAAAAAAAAGAAAGCAAGAAGAUGAUAAGAGUCAUAAAGAUUGGUUCCCCGUAAAACAUGGGUGCAAAAUUUUCUUGUAUGGGACCUUUCCUUUCUAAUAAUUUUAUGGCAUUAUUGCUAAGCCAGCUGCCAAAGAGAAUUAUUUUCUCCUUAUAUAACAUUAGUAUGGCCAUAAGAGAGUAAGAGAAAACUCAGAUUUAAGUUAGAAAAUACUUUUACGUUUGUGAAGGAGAGCAAGUAAGAGUGACAGCCUAGGAGUAUCAAGAGUGAAGAAAUCCUUGCAGGAGAAGAGAUGAUAGUGCAGAUAAUAUUGGAACGGAGUAGCUCGACGAGAGUGCUGGGGAAUAAAAUUUAUCGGGUUUUCUUUAUGAUGUAUUUACUAGUGUGUUGAAUUCUAUCGUUGUAAAAGACUAUUUAUAAUCACUUCGAUACGGUGUAAAAGCGUAUAGUGUGUUUAUGAAUUUGCUUCCGCAUUUUAAAUAAGAAUAAACAUGUUGGGAUUUGAAUA